GGUUAAUGAAAAUAAGUGAAAAUAAGCCAAAAUCAAAAUUUUAGAAUUUGACCUUGACCUUUGACCUUGACCUAAUUUUCAUUUUUUUGGACCAAGGAUCUUAAAUCAAAAGACCCUAGGUCUCUAUCACUUAUAGUUUACCAGUUAGAAAUGCAUAUCACUUAUAUCAUAUAUAAAAGGGGGAUAACUCUCAUAUGGAGUCUCCGGAUAGCUUCGGUCAAAAUGAAACAGAACAUCCUGAGGAUGUAACGAGCAAUUUGGUAAAAUAAAUUUGUCGUAAUCUUUUACGGUUGCGAAGGAGUAGUGGCCACAAGAAAAACAGUGUUCGGGGAGAUAACUCUUACAAGGUAAAGUUUUUUUGUUACGCGGUGUCAGUUUCAGAAGCGUAUUAACUGUUCGAUAUCAUAUACCAUAAUAUCUAAGCGACAUCUUGUGAAACAAAAAACAGCGAAGGAAAAAAAGUUGGCGGAAGAAAAAAAAAAAAAAAAAAAUAAUAAUAAUUAAAAACCAAUUGUUCAAAGAACAAUUGAAGGUCUUUCAACCAAUAAAGGAUCUAUUUUGAUAUGAAAAUAUUAAAAUUCAGUUGAAAAUGUCAGUUCCUAUGGCUUUAAUGAUGUAUAAAUAUGAAUUUUAAAGCAAAGGUCAAAAUCUAGAACGUCCAAUUAACCUAUGACCUUGACCUCAAUUUCAAGGUCAUAGACUAAACAUCUCAAAUCAAAAAGACACUAGUUCCUUAAUAUGUAUGGUUCAUGAGUAAUAUCACUUUACGCAUAAUUCUAAAUAUAAGAGGGGCGAAAACUCCCAUUUAUUGUCUACGCACCCUUGCAACCAAAAUUUAUAAGUUACGACAUGUCGCAACUAACAAUUUAGUAAAAAUAAUUUGUCGAUAUCUUAUAAGGUUAAUGAAAAUAAGUGAAAAUAAGCCAAAAUCAAAAUUUAGAAUUUGACCUUGACCUUUGACCUUGACCUAAUUUUCAUUUUUUUGGACCAAGGAUCUUAAAUCAAAAGACCCUAGGUCUCUAUCACUUAUGGUUUACCAGUUAGAAAUGCAUAUCACUUAUAUCAUAUAUAAAAGGGGGGAUAACUCUCAUAUGGAGUCUCCGGAUAGCUUCGGUCCAAAUGAAACAGAACAUCCUGAGGAUAUAACGAGCAAUUUGGAAAAAUAAAUUUGUCGGUUUUCUUUUAUACGGUUGCGAAGGAGUAGUGGCCACAAGAAAAACAGUGUUCGGGGAGAUAACUCUUACAAGGUAAAGGUUUUUUGUUACGCGGUGUCAGUUUCAGAAGCGCAUUAACUGUUCGAUAUCAUAUUACCAAAUAUCUAAGCGACAUCUUGUGAAACAAAAAAACAGCGAAGGAAAAAAAAGUUGGCGGAAGAAAAAAAAAAAAAAAAAAAUAAUAAUAAUAAUAAUCAGAACAAUAAAUAGGUCUUUCAAUUGAAGAACAAUUCAAUGGUCUUUCAAAGAAAAGACAAUAAUUAAAAACCAAUUGUUCAAGAACAAUUGAAGGUCUUUCACUAAGGAUCUAUUUAGAUAUGAAAUAUUAAAAAUUCAGUUGAAAAUGUCAGUUCCUAUGGCUUAAUGAUGUAUAAAUAUGAAUUUUAAGCAAAGGUCAAAAUCUAGAACGUCCAAUUAACCUAUGACCUUGACCUCAAUUUCAAGGUCAUAGACUAAACAUCUCAAAUAAAAGACACUAGUUCCUUAAUAUGUAUGGUUCAUGAGUAAAAUCACUUUACGCAUAAUUCUUAAAUAUAAGAGGGGCGAAAACUCCCUUUUAUUGUUUACGCACCCUCGCAACCAAAAUUUAUAAGUUACGACAUGUCGCAACUAACAAUUUAGUAAAAAAAAAUUGUCGAUAUCUUAUAAGGUUAAUGAAAAAAGGUGAAAAAUAAGCCAAAAUCAAAAUUAAGAAUUUGACCUUGACCUUUGACCUUGACCUAAUUUUCAUUUUUUUGGACCAAGGAUCUUAAAUCAAAAGACCCUAGGUCUCUAUCACUUAUAGUUUACCAGUUAGAAAUGCAUAUCACUGAUAUCAUAUAUAAAAGGGGGAUAACUCUCAUAUGGAGUCUCCGGAUAGCUUCGGUUGAAAUGAAACAGAACAUCCUAAGGAUAUAACGAGCAAUUUGGAAAAAUAAAUUUGUCGGUUUCUUAUACGGUUGCGAAGUAGUAGUGGCCACAAGAAAAACAGUGUUUGGGGAGAUAACUCUUACAAGGUAAAGUUUUUGUUACGCGGUUGUCAGUUUCAGAAGCGUAUUAAACUGUUCGAUAUCAUAUACCAAAUAUCUAAGCGACAUCUUGUGAAACAAAAAAACAGCGAAGGAAAAAAAAGUUGGCGGAAGAAAAAAAAAAAAAAAAUAAUAAUAAUAAUAAUAAUAAUAAUAAUAAUCAGAACAAAUAUAGGUCUUUCAACUGAAAGGUUGAAAGACCUAAUUAAAAACCAAUUGUUCAGAGAACAAUUGUAGGUCUUUCCACUAGUAAAGAUCUAUUUUGAUAUUGAAAUAUUAAAAAUCAGUUUAAAAUGUUAGUUCCUAUGGCUUUAUGAUGUAUUUAUAUGAAUUUAAAGCAAAGGUCAAAAUCUAGAACGUCAUAUUAACCUAUGACCUUGACCUCAAUUUCAAGUUCACAAACCAAGGACCUUAAAUCAAAAGACCCAAGGUCUUUAAUAUGUUUGGUUUAUUAGUAAUAUCACUUUACGCGUAAUUCUAAAUGUAAGAUGGGCAAAAACUCCCAUUUAUUGUCUGCGCACCCUUUCAAUCAAAAUAUACAAGUAAGGACAUGUCGCAACUAACAAUUUAUGAAAAAAUUAUUUGUCGAUAUGUCAUAAGGUAUUUGAAAAUAAAUGAAAAUAAGCCAAAAUCAAAAUUUAGAAUAUGACCUUGACCUUUGACCUUGACCUCAUUUUUAUUAUUUUCGACCAAGGACCCCAAAUCUAAAGACCCUAUGUCUUUAUCACUUAUGGUUUACCAUUUAGAAAUGCAUAUCACUUAAUUAAAUGGAAAAGGGGGAAUAACUCUCAUAUGGAGUCUCCGUAAAGCUUCGGUCCAAAUGAAUAUCCUAAUCCUGAAGAUGUAACGAGCAAUUUGGUAAAAUAAAUUUGUCGUAAUCUUUAACGGUUGCGAAGGAGUAGUGGCCACAAGAAAAACAGUGUUUGGGGAGAUAACUCUUACAACGUAAAGUAUUUUGUUACGCAGUUGUAAAUUUUUAAAGCGUAUAAACUAUACGAUACCAUAUUCCAAAUAUCUAAGCGACAUCUUUUGAAACAUCAAAAAUACGCAAGAAAAAAAAUUAGGCGGAAGAAAAAAAAAAAAAAUAAUAAUAAUAAUAAUCAGAACAAAUUCAAUAGGUCUUUCCACGGAAAGGUGGAAAGACCUAAUUAAAAACCAAUUGUUCAGAGAACAAUUGAAGGUCUUUCAACCAAUAAGGAUCUAUUUUGAUAUGAAAAUAUUAAAAUUCAGUUGAAAAUGUCAGUUCCUAUGGCUUUAUGAUGUAUAAAUAUAUGAAUUUUAAGCAAAGGUCAAAAUCUAGAACGUCCAAUUAAACCUAUGACCUUGACCUCAAUUUCAAGGUCAUAGACUAAACAUCUCAAAUAAAAAAGACACUAGUUCCUUAAUAUGUAUGGUUCAUGAGUAAAAUCACUUUACGCAUAAUUCUUAAUAUAAGAGGGGCGAAAACUCCCUUUUAUUGUUUACGCACCCUUUGCAACCAAAAAUUUAUAAGUUACGACAUGUCGCAACUAACAAUUUAGUAAAAAAAAUUUGUCGAUAUCUUAUAAGGUUAAUGAAAAAAGGUGAAAAUAAGCCAAAAUCAAAAUUUAGAAUUUGACCUUGACCUUUGACCUUGACCUAAUUUUCAUUUUUUUGGACCAAGGAUCUUAAAUCAAAAGACCCUAGGUCUCUCUAUCACUUAUAGGUUUACCAGUUAGAAAUGCAUAUCACUGAUAUCAUAUAUAAAAGGGGGGAUAACUCUCAUAUGGAGUCUCCGGAUAGCUUCGGUUGAAAUGAAACAGAACAUCCUAAGGAUAUAACGAGCAAUUUGGAAAAAUAAAUUUGUCGUAAUCUUUAUUACGGUUGCGAAGGAGUAGUGGCCA
rnacentral:lncRNA from 1 species